rnacentral:sRNA from 1 species
GGGACAAAUUGUCCCCAUAUAAAUGUUGUCGCUUACUCCCGCUCUUAGCGGGAGUUAU